UUUCGCAAUGCCCGAAAGGGUGACGAAGCGACGCCGCGUGUGGGAAGAGGGCCUUCGGGUUGUAAACCACUGUCGGGAGUUAGGAAAUGCAGGUGCGUUAAUAGCGCACUUGCUUGACUAAGGCUCCAGAGGAAGCCACGGCUAACUCUGUGCCAGCAGCCGCGGUAAUACAGAGGCGGCAAGCGUUGUUCGGAAUUAUUGGGCGUAAAGAGCACGUAGGCGGCCUUGCAAGUCAGUUGUGAAAGCCUUCCGCUUAACGGAAGAACGGCAUCUGAUACUACAGGGCUUGAGUACGGGAGGGGAGAGUGGAACUUCUGGUGGAGCGGUGAAAUGCGUAGAUAUCAGAAGGAACGCCGGCGGCGAAAGCGUCUCUCUGGUCCGAAACUGACGCUGAGUGUGCGAAAGCUAGGGGAGCAAACGGGAUUAGAUACCCCGGUAGUCCUAGCCGUAAACGAUGGGCACUAAGUAGAGGGGUUUU
rnacentral:rRNA from 1 species